rnacentral:tRNA from 1 species
GCGGGUAUGGUGGAAUUGGCAGACGCGCAGGAUUUAGGUUCCUGUACCAAUGGUGUGUGGGUUCAAGUCCCACUACCCGCACCA